GCCGCUUUAGCGUAGUGGUAGCGCGUUUCACUUGUAGUCCCAUGUUCAUAUCAUGUGUCACGUUAUGAAAAGGUCACUCGUUCAAUCCGGGUAAGCGGCA